rnacentral:tRNA from 1 species
GGAGAGGUGACCGAGCCGGCUGAAGGUGUGCGCCUGCUAAGCGUAUGUAGGUCAAAAGCCUACCGAGGGUUCGAAUCCCUCCCUCUCCGCCA